rnacentral:rRNA from 1 species
CAGAACGAACGCUGGCGGCAGGCCUAACACAUGCAAGUCGAGCGGAAGAGAGAAGCUUGCUCCUCUAGACAGCGGCGGACGGGUGAGUAAUGCCUAGGAAUCUGCCUGGUAGUGGGGGAUAACGUUCCGAAACGGACGCUAAUACCGCAUACGUCCUACGGGAGAAAGCAGGGGACCUUCGGGCCUUGCGCUAUCAGAUGAGCCUAGGUCGGAUUAGCUAGUUGGUGGGGUAAUGGCUCACCAAGGCGACGAUCCGUAACUGGUCUGAGAGGAUGAUCAGUCACACUGGAACUGAGACACGGUCCAGACUCCUACGGGAGGCAGCAGUGGGGAAUAUUGGACAAUGGGCGAAAGCCUGAUCCACCCAUGCCGCGUGUGUGAAGAAGGUCUUCGGAUUGU